rnacentral:rRNA from 1 species
CCUACGGGUGGCUGCAGUAGGGAAUCUUCCACAAUGGACGAAAGUCUGAUGGAGCAACGCCGCGUGAGUGAAGAAGGGUUUCGGCUCGUAAAGCUCUGUUGGUAGUGAAGAAAGAUAGAGGUAGUAACUGGCCUUUAUUUGACGGUAAUUACUUAGAAAGUCACGGCUAACUACGUGCCAGCGGCCGCGGGAAUAUGUAGGUGGCAAGCGUUGGCCGGAUUUAUUGGGCGUAAAGGGAGUGCAGGCGGUUCAAUAAGUCUGGUGUGAAAGCCUUCGGCUCAACCGGAGAAUUGCAUCGGAAACUGGUGAACUUGAGUGCAGGAGAGGGAAGUGGAACUCCAUGUGUAGCGGUGGAAUGCGUAGAUAUAUGGAAGAACACCAGUGGCGAAGGCGGCUCUCUGGUCUGCAACUGACGCUGAGGCUCGAAAGCAUGGGUAGCGAACAGGAUUAGAUACCCGAGUAGUC